GCAUCAAUAAAAGAUACAACAUUCAUCAGAGCAAGCCCAAUUUUAGAAGAUAAACUUGAUGAUACAUGCCAUUCUGAAUAUAUACCCACAUUAAAUUAGCCUGAAUGGACCUUAUCAACAACAUAAUUUGGUAAAUAAAAUCGUGAUAUUCACAUGCUUGGACAUAUCUAAAUAACUCAAUGCCAUGUUAAUGAUUUUUAGAAAAUCUAAUUAACAAAGCAGAUACAAGUGGAAAAAUCCUGAUAUCCACCAUAUGUACAUAUGAACACACACAGACAAUUAAUUGACAGUGGGUGUGUGUAUACUGUGGUAUGUGUGUGAUAAUGUGUGUGUGCGAGUAUAGCAGUGGGUGGGUGUAUGUGUGUGAGUAUAGCAGUGGGUGUGAGAGUAACUUACCAAAUAACCAAAUCAAGCCUCCUAAUUAAAUGUGGGUAGUGGAGAGGAAGAGGGAAAGGAAGUGAGAGACAGAAUCGUCGCCGAUGAAGAAGAAAAAGGGAGUCGCCACUGAAGAGGGAGAGGGAAAAGGGAAUCGCAUGUGGGAGGGAAGAGAGCGAGCGCAUCAAAUUUUGGGCAAAAAGGGGAAUAAAACUGUAAUCGUUCAGCUAGGGCUUAUAAACUCUGUUUCACGCUUCUAACUCCUUUUAAGAUUCACGCUUCUAACUCCUU
rnacentral:lncRNA from 1 species